GAUGAACGCUGGCGGCGUGCCUAAUACAUGCAAGUCGAGCGAACAGACGAGGAGCUUGCUCCUCUGACGUUAGCGGCGGACGGGUGAGUAACACGUGGAUAACCUACCUAUAAGACUGGGAUAACUUCGGGAAACCGGAGCUAAUACCGGAUAAUAUAUUGAACCGCAUGGUUCAAUAGUGAAAGACGGUUUUGCUGUCACUUAUAGAUGGAUCCGCGCCGCAUUAGCUAGUUGGUAAGGUAACGGCUUACCAAGGCAACGAUGCGUAGCCGACCUGAGAGGGUGAUCGGCCACACUGGAACUGAGACACGGUCCAGACUCCUACGGGAGGCAGCAGUAGGGAAUUUUCCGCAAUGGGCGAAAGCCUGACGGAGCAACGCCGCGUGAGUGAUGAAGGUCUUCGGAUCGUAAAACUCUGUUAUUAGGGAAGAACAAAUGUGUAAGUAACUAUGCACGUCUGGACGGUACCUAAUAAGAAAGCCACGGCUAACUACGU
rnacentral:rRNA from 1 species